CUGCCCUUUAAUUACAGUCCCGUGAGGCUGAGAAGGAAUGAAGCAAACUACUAGCAGAUUGGAUUAGUCUGCCUAUAUGUUUGAAUCUAACACCUCUCGCGGAUGCGAGAGGUUUUUUAUU
rfam:Bacillus solimangrovi strain GH2-4 NODE_8_length_133311_cov_1.65123_ID_5745, whole genome shotgun sequence.